rnacentral:rRNA from 1 species
UGAGUGUCGAGGCGGGCCGGCACGUUUACUUUGAACAAAUUAGAGUGCUUUAAGCAGGCCCUGUCCCGCCUGUAURUUGUGUGCAUGGAAUAAUGGAAUAGGACCUCGGUUCUAUUUUGUUGGUUUUCGGAAUCUGAGGUAAUGAUCAAUGGGGACAGGCGGGGGCAUUCGUAUUGCGACGUUAGAGGUGAAAUUCUUGGAUCGUCGCAAGACGGACCGAAGCGAAAGCAUUUGCCAAGUAUGUUCUCGUCGAUCAAGAACGAAAGUUAGAGGUUCGAAGGCGAUCAGAUACCGCCCUAGUUCUAACCAUAAACUAUGCCUGCCAGCGAUCCGCCGAAGUUCCUCCGAUGACUCGGCGGGCAGCUUCCGGGAAACCAGAGCUUUUGGGUUCCGGGGGAAGUAUGGUUGCAAAGCUGAAACUUAAAGGAAUUGACGGAAGGGCACCACCAGGAGUGGAGCCUGCGGCUUAAUUUGACUCAACACGGGRAACCUCACCAGGCCAGGACACUGGAAGGAUUGACAGACUGAGAGCUCUUUCUCGAUUCAGUGGGUGGUGGUGCAUGGCCGUUCUUAGUUGGUGGAGCGAUUUGUCUGGUUAAUUCCGAUAACGAACGAGACUCUAGCCUACUAACUAGGCGUCCCGGUAUUCAUAAUUUUGAACUACCGGCGAUUAUCAAUCUUCUUAGAGGGACAGGCGGCUUCUAGCCGCACGAGACUGAGCAAUAACAGGUCUGUGAUGCCCUUAGAUGUCCUGGGCCGCACGCGCGCUACACUGAAGGAAUCAACGUGUCCUCCCUGGCCGAAAGGUCCGGGUAACCCGCUGAACCUCCUUCGUGCUAGGGAUUGGGGCUUGCAAUUGUUCCCCAUGAACGAGGAAUUCCCAGUAAGAGCGAGUCAUAAGCUCGCUUUGAUUACGUCCCUGCCCUUUGUACACACCGCCCGUCGCUACUACCGAUUGAAUGAUUUAGUGAGGUCUUUGGACUGGUGCGCGGCAAUCAGCAAUGGUAGCCGAUGUUACUGGAAAGAU